rnacentral:rRNA from 1 species
UACGUAGGGACCAAGCGUUUGUUCGGAUUUACUGGGCGUAAAGGGCGCGUAGGCGGCGUGGUAAGUCAGCUGUGAAAUCUCCGAGCUUAACUCGGAACGGUCAGCUGAUACUGCUGUGCUAGAGUACAGAAAGGGCAAUCGGAAUUCUUGGUGUAGCGGUGAAAUGCGUAGAUAUCAAGAGGAACACCUGAGGCGAAGGCGGGUUGCUAGGCUGAUACUGACGCUGAGGCGCGAAAGCUAGGGUAGCAAACGGG